rnacentral:rRNA from 1 species
GACAGAGGUGCCGAGCGUUAGGCGGAAUCACUGGGCUUAAAGCGUGUGUAGGCGGAUCGUUAAGUACCUUGUGAAAUCCCACGGCUUAACCGUGGAACUGCUGGGUAUACUGGCGAUCUUGAGCCACCUAGGGGCAACCGGAACAAAUGGUGGAGCGGUGAAAUGCGUAGAUAUCAUUUGGAACGCCAAUGGUGAAAACAGGUUGCUGGGGGGUGUGCUGACGCUGAGACACGAAAAGCCAGGGGAGCGAACGGGG